rnacentral:rRNA from 1 species
AUUGAACGCUGGCGGCGUGCUUAACACAUGCAAGUCGAGCGGUAAGGCCCUUUCGGGGGUACACGAGCGGCGAACGGGUGAGUAACACGUGGGUGACCUGCCCUCAGCUCUGGGAUAAGCCUGGGAAACCGGGUCUAAUACUGGAUAUGACUCCAUGACGCAUGUUGUGGGGUGGAAAGCCUUGUGCGGCUGAGGAUGGGCCCGCGGCCUAUCAGCUUGUUGGUGGGGUGAUGGCCUACCAAGGCGACGACGGGUAGCCGGCCUGAGAGGGCGACCGGCCACACUGGGACUGAGACACGGCCCAGACUCCUACGGGAGGCAGCAGUGGAGAAUCUUGCGCAAUGGGCGAAAGCCUGACGCAGCGACGCCGCGUGAGGGAUGACGGCCU